GACGAACGCUGGCGGCGUGCUUAACACAUGCAAGUCGAGCGGAGCGGCGAACGGGUGAGUAACGCGGGAGUAACUGCCCCCCUCUCUGGGAUAACAGUUGGAAACGGCUGCUAAUACCGGAUAGUGGGGGAUGACUCGCGUCCUAUCAGCUUGUUGGGGGGGUAGUGGCCUACCAAGGCGACGACGGGUAGCCGGCCUGAGAGGGCGACCGGCCACAUGGGGCGGAGAUACGGCCCAGACUGCUACGGGAGGGAGCAGUGGGGGAUAUGGCACAAUGGGCGCAAGCCUGAUGCGGGGACGCCGCGUGGGGGAUGAAGGCUUUCGGGUUGUAAACCUCUUUCGAUACAGAACGGGUAUGUGCAGAAGAAGCGCCGGCUAACUACGUGCCAGCAGCCGCGGUAAUAC
rnacentral:rRNA from 1 species